GUACACUGGGAGGAGCGGAUCGAGGAGGCCAAUGAAAGGAAACGUGCAAAGUACCAGGAACUAGUGCAGGAGUACAGGGGAAGGGGCUGGAAGACUUUCUAUGAGCCCAUAGAAGUAGGUAGGUUGUAGGGCAGGGGUGGGCAAUCUCAGUCCACGAGGGCCGGUGUCCCUGCAGGUUUUAGAUCUCACCUUGGGUCAACACACCUGAAUCACAUGAUUAGUUCGUUACCAGGCCUCUGGAGAACUUCAGGACAUGUUGAGGAGCUAAUUUAGCCAUUUAAAUCAGCUGUGUUGGUUCGAGGACACAUCUAAAACCUGCAGGGACACCGGCCCUCGUGGACUGAGAUUGCCCACCCCUGUUGUAGGGGCUUUGCAGGACGAUCACUCUGCAAAGUCCUAGGCCAGCUGGGUGUGGCUGGGGCAGCCAAGAAGAGGGCCAUCCAGGCUGUGAGCGAAGCGGCAGAGAAAGCCAAAGGUGGCUGUGGAUUAAGAGGGCUGAUCCGUGGGUAACUACUGUUACGCAAGUAGGGGCCUGAUCACCCCCGGCUGGGUCGCCUGGGUGAGGGUGUAUGACGUUGUGAGACCCAAAACACCUGAUGACCCCAGGAUACAUCACUGAACAUGCGUGCAUCCAGGAGAUGUGUCUUGUAUAAGAAAAUAAUUUACAGAGUGAGGAGGAACUGGAGCAAAAAAAGGAACAGCAGCACUCCUGACAUAAUUUGUAUGUUGUAUGGUCCUUACCCUUCAAGCUCAGUUUGUCAGCCACAGAACUGGGAGCAUGAUGGUCCUACAAGCACUACCACUCACACUGUUUAGGGGUCAAUGCCCCGAGUGCACCAAACACCUUGUGAACCACUAUUGGCUUCACCCUCCACAUCUUCCCAAUCUCCUCUCACAGCCCUUGGGUUUUGUCAAGCUUUUUUGUGUUACGUCCUCCUGAUGUUGCUUCUACCUGGUAUAACAUUUAUCACUAUGGCCGUCUUCUUCUUCUACGUCUGGUCAUCACCAGUUUGUGAGAGGGUUCAACCAUAGAACUGGGACUGAACUGCACCUGUGGUGUGGUAGACCCCAGCCUCUAUCGAGCUUGUGCCUGUGCGGCCAUUACUAGUUCCUUUGGUGCCAUUGGUAGGAUUUUUCAAUAUCGGGUACUUCUAUCUGCUGGUGGUACAUGUUGUGCAGAGGCUUGUCUUUCCAUGAUGUUUCCGUUUUCUGUGUUUCUGUUGCCUCAUGUAUCACUAGGCACACUGUCAGCUGUGGCCAUGUUCCUGAUGUACUCAUGGAUCUUAGCCGUUUCAUUCUGAAUAGUGGUUCUGACUUUCACUAGUUCUUAGCCUCCUUCCUUUCGCUAAGUGUAUCGUCUCAGGGUGAAAACCUCCAUGCACAGAACAUGGCCCCCUGUUAAAUCCAGUAUCUAAUUUAAAAUCCUUCACAUCACAUAAAACAUCUUACGUACAGUAUUUCCCCACAGAACACUUCACUCUCAGACUGCAGGUUUACUUGUGUUUCCUAUGAAUAUUUCUAGUUAAAGAAAUUUCACAGGCAUAUCCCUCAAAACUGUAAAUGCAAAAAAGUUGCACAAAAUAGUUUCCAACCACAGGAAAGUUAUUUCAUUUUUGAGAUACACUAAGUUUUAUAAACUGUAGGAAAAUGAAAAUAAAUAUUACUGUGCACAAUUUGCAACAAAACAGCAUGUGUAUGAAAAUAAACAAUUUCCAAUAGUGUAAUUGAAGUUCUAAGCGUCCCAGAAACUAUACAGAAAGGCAUAAAGUCAAACAUGGCUUUCAAAAACACCAGCUAACCUUUGAAAGGCCCUGUAGGGGGAAAAACUGUUUCCCCCACGAAAAGUGACGCCACGUCCGGUUUUUGCAGGUAAUGGCGGACUUGAAAGUUUGCACUAACAAUUUGAUGAUGUUAAUUGCAACGUAGGAAGUGCUAUGAACAGCUGAUCAAGGUGUGUUUCUGGAUUAUGUUACUGUGGUUGCGAGCACUUUUUACUUGAUUUUUGCACAGGAAACCCUGACCUGGGACAAGUUGAAUGCAUGCUGUGUAAGUACAACUCCUGUGGUUUCAUAUGCAAAAAAAUGAUUGCACUAGCUUAUUUGUGUCACGGUUUGCGGGGCAAGCCGUGUGUAAAUUAUUAAAGGACCCUUUAUGUAGGCAGCUCAGCUCAGCUUUAUUCAUCAAAUGUUGAUACAAAUAGAGAUGGUGAGGGUGACCAUGAAACUAAGCAAAAACCUAAACUGGGAAAACUAACAGGAACAAACCAGAAACAGAGAUGCAGGGAGACACGGAGAGACAACCUGAGACGACGGAGGGAGACAUGCAGACCAGAAAACACCAAAUAACGCAGACGAACCAGCAACACACACGAGAAAACACAGGGUUUAAAUACACACAGGGCAAUCAGGGAAUGGGAAACAGGAGGGAGACGCGGCUGGGAGUAAUUGGACAUAACGAGACAAGGGGAAGCGAAACUAGAAACACUAACAAGAGACGCAGACCUGCAAAAUAAAACAGGAACUCACACAUGCAAAGACACAGACUAAGGAACACAGACUUUACACAGAGGAAACACCGACAGAAAUGACUAAACACUAAACUGAGGAAGAACAGAACCAAAAUAUAUCACAACAAUAGAAAACACAAAACGCUGGGUCAAAGACCCAAGAUCAUGACAAUUUGGUUGCAAUUCUACCAGGAUUUUAAAAUAGUUACACAAAUGGGAGCGUGUACGCUCCCAUGGGCUUAAAGGGUUAAAGUACUUGCUCAUACGGGGUCAUCUGAUUGGUGGAAUUUUCUCUGGAUCAUUGUAGAGUCUUUACCUUAAAAUGUAAAGCACCUUGAGCCAAUUGUUGUUGUGGUUUGGCGCUGUAUAAAUAAAACUGAAUUAGCCAGCUGGUUGCAGUGACGGUCACAGAUUGCACAGAUUGUGCAUAAUGCUGCAUUCUUAUCCUCUAGCAGACUUUCACAGGGUACGUGACACGGUCUUGGUAAAUAGCCAUGUAGAGUCUAAAUUUUCUUUGCCAUGAUCUUCUCUUUCAGGUCAGCUGCUCUGGCAUUCAAUGUCAGUAGUCUCUAUCGUCUCCUGUGGCCAGCGUAUUAUUCUAGUGGAGGUAUCUGAUAAUUGGUGCAUGCAUUGAUGGCUGUGAUCUUAUUCCUACCGUUCAAAUGGCUUCUCAGCAGCUGUCUCGCCUUCUGGAAAUAUCUGGCUGUGGCUACCCUUUCUACAUCUUCAUCAUGGUUUCUGUUGGCCUCCACCCUUAUCCAGUCACAAGAACAUCCAGAUAUCCUUGCGGCAGACCCUGGUGAGAUGGAUCAGUAAAGUGAUGUCUCACUAACUCUUGGGAUAUAGCUCGAUGUCAUCCAUGUACACCAAAAGGCCGAUGGUAUUUGCUCUUAAUGACGAGCUGACUUAGGUGAGUGAAGCCUAUGCAGAACAGCAGUGGGGACAGUGCAUUACACUGGUAUGUUGGAUACUUUGUGGUAAUGUGUGUGACUGAUUGCCUUGUAGAUGGUGUCCAGUGUCAUUUUCCACAGUCCCACUGAAUUUCUGAUGAAUAUAAUUAGGGCACUAUAUUAGAGCACCUUGUACAGUGCCAAGCACUCCAAUAUAGUCAAUCCAGCUUCAUCUGUUGGCCUGAGCUACAGCCACCCACAUGAUCUCACCUUCAGCUCUAGGUGUGUCUGUCCUUGUGCUAUUGUUUCCUUGUAGCUGAGAUUCCCCCAUAGAUGAAUCUUUGGAAAAACAGGCUAUUUGUUCUUUUUACCUCUCUUCAUCCUAGUGGCCAACGUUGUGACCCUUAGUUUGACAGUUUCUAGAACUCAGAUCUUGUCCCUCUUUUUCAUCCAGGAGCUGUCUCGCUGAGUCCUUCUGUACCUCCGUUAACUAACAUGUUUCCGGGCUUCUCUGAUUUGAAGACACUGAAUUACACCACAGGGUUCUACCAUAGUUGGCUCUUUACAUCCAUACAGCUUACUACUGUUCCCAUUGUACUGCAGCCUCUUGAUUUCCAGCUAACAGGUGCUUCUUGAUCAGUGUGUCUUAUUUGCAUUGUACUCAUUCAUAGAGCCCACAUACACUGCUUAUAACUGCUCUCAUUGUGCGUGUCUAAGAUAUUAGGUUUCAAAUAAAACCACUUUAAAAUACAUA